GCUCACCUUGUCCUGUGUGUUCCUUUCAGGGGAGAGGAAAGCAGCUUACCUGGCUGCCUGGAGGAAGGCCCAGCUGUACGGGGACUGGCGGAAGGAGCAGUUCCAGGCCUG